rnacentral:lncRNA from 1 species
UUUGAAUAAAUAGUAAUUUUACUCUAUUUAUAUUUUAAAGUUGUGUGACAUCCUAUUUAGUUGAUUACUCUGAUGUUUAUGCAAAAAUUUUAAAGUUGGAAAAACAGGGUGUUACAGGCUGCACGAAGCAAAAGCACACCCGCUGAACCUAACCAACAGACCCCAAAAAACCACCCUCAAGUGAGCAGCAAAACGCAGCUGCUUAUGGAACAAUGCACAACAGAGAAAUCUACUUAUGUUACAACAAAACAGGAAAAUAAUUUCUACACCAAAAUAGCAGCAGCUCCGCACUCCUGUCAUAACCGUCCGAACAGUAGCCACCAAAGGCCGCUAUAAACAACGUCAAUCUAUUACCUCAUCAAAUAAUCUCGUGGACACCAACACCACUCGUAGAAAAUACAAGCUGGAUUGUUGAAUCUACCUAACAACCACCUUCAAGACAUUACUUUUAGUCAAAGAACUUUGAUUUUGACUUGAUAGUUAAGGUAAUGCACAAUCUAUACCAUAUAGCAGCUUUGUUGUAUAGACAAUUUAGUCAAAUACUAUGAAUUCUAAGGUAAUUCACUGUCUAUACCAUAUACCAUCAGUUAAAAAAACAGACUGCAUCAUCCAAGUUUGGCAGCAACAAAAAACUCCAGCAUAAAAACAGAAAAAUAAAACACAAUGCUACAGGUCCGUCGUAGCAUCAUAAACACAGUGAUAAAGAUCAAUUAUUUGCAAUUCAAAUAGUAAUAUAAUGAAAUGAGCAUUGGUUGCCAAUUUUUUUUGGAUCAAUACUGGUUGCCAAUUGAUCAUAUAUUCCACCUUAAUAGUAAGUUCAAUAAGCAAGUAAAUGGUUUUCUUCAAUUAACAUAGAUAGCAUAUCAUAUUUAUCAUAGUAGAUGUAUCCUUUGGAGUGCAUACAACCUUGCACCAAAGUGUGUAGAAGGUACAUCCCUACUAGAAUGUUGGACAAGAAAUUCAUCUUCUAAUGAGAUGAUGGCUCGUAAAACAUUGUGAAAGUGACGGCUGACAGUUUCACCGGAACGGUGGAAAAAGAAUGACACAAUACGAUUUUUCACAUUAUGACCAAUGAUGUGUAGAAAUUUAGCAGCUUGCUCUUUAACUGUGAAUCGUAUUGUAUCCUUCACAAUACCAGUUCCUCUCAAUUUAUGACACAACAACAUGAAUGCCUCAGGUCCCAUUCGUAUUAUGUCGCUGCAUUUUUCAGUUUCUACUAGUUGUCUCAUUAAAUCAAUAUGCCUACGCUCUCUCUCAUGACUUCCAUGACUAAUAGGAUUACGCCAACGUGACAUUAUGUUAAGCAUGUGUAAGGUAUGAACAAUAUAACACAAUAUAGGACCACAAAAUAAAGAUGUUGUUGCCUUUCGAAUCGAUGUCGAAAUUGACAUAAAUUUAACAUGCCAAGAUUAGUCGAAGGUUUUAUUUUAGAAUGUACUUCUUUUAUACCAUGAGAUUCAUCACCAGACUUAUCUUCCUCAUUAAUAAAAGAAUCCAUGUCACAAAGUGGAAUGUUAACCUUCAAUCAGAGUAUAAAAUCAAUUGAUGAAACAAAUAAUUUGACAUUAGAAAAUCCCUAAAUAAUUCCCUCACAAAUCAAAAGAUUUGGAGAGUUUAGAAUUUAAUUUGUAAUAUUUUGUAACAAACAAUCAUAAGUAGUGCAAUUAAGAGUUGAUAUAUUUAAAGGGGAAAAAACACACAUAUUUAACUUUUAAAUGAUUUUUAUGUAGAAAUAAUUUUUUUAACACUUGAUUUACGAGUUAAAGACUCUUGAUGCUAUACACAAGUUUUCCAUAAUGCAUAUUUAUCUCCCCUGCAAUCUCUAUUAAAACAAGAAUCUAGAGUUCAUUUUGUUUUUAGAUAAACAAAUCACUUUAUUAAGAAAAAUCAUCCAGCUUAGCAUAAACAGAUAGCAUCAUCACACACAUACCAAACAAUUGAAAGAAAAAACACUCAUAACCUAAGAACACACAAAAUCACUACCUAAAGACAAUAACACAUGACAGAUGACAAAAUAUCAACUCCAACUAUGUUGCAGCCAACAAACUGCAUAGCGUUCUGGUGUCUGCAGUGGCAGCCCUGCUGCUGUUAUAUGUUUUGCAGUUGUUUGCUAUCAUAUAUGUUUUAGGUGUGAUUGAGGCAGCUGGCUUUUUUAUGGUGUGUUUUUAAUUGUUUGGUUAGGUGCAGCUGCGUUGGUUUUGUAUGUUUAGCUGUGUAGUGUGGUCACUAGAUUGCAAUUGUGGUCUCUAUCCCUGAACUCUCAUACGAUGGGGUUUGUUUUGUUUCUUUUCAGCUACUUUCUUCUCUUAUUGAGAGUUUGGAAGCUUAAAUAAUAUUGGCUUUUCAAAAAAAAAAAGUAGGAUCAAACUUUCUUCAUUUCGUAAAUGAAAUCCUUAACACCCAUCACUCAGAUUCAUUUGAGUCUUUUAAGCCAAUUGAUGUCCCAAACAUCAGCCUCAUCUCUAACAAUGAAAUCCUUAACACACAACCUAUAUCUGCAGCUCCCGGCUUCCCUUUCAACGAUCCAUCCACAUUCCAUUACCAAACAUUUUGUGGAGGGGGACACCAUAUUGCUGACAAUCUAUUUCCAUGUUUUAAUCUCUUGAAUUUUAUACAAAUGGACCACGUGAUACACAUAUUCUAUGAAAGGUUUGAGACUUGAGAGACCACCUACCUAAUCCCCAACACGACAUCACAUUGGUAUCAGGCUGCCAUGACAACUUCUGAUAACACACUAGAACACUACCUAUAACAAAUCUUAGGCCUAAAAACAUUCAUAACCCCAUUCUAAGUUUGAUUAAAAAAACUCCAAAACAACAACAAUGUCUUGUUUUAUGUUGCCUUCCCAACAUCCAUAAUUUACCCAAACUGAAACCAACAUGACUUAAUAUACCCAAAUUGAAGGGGAAAAAAGUAAAAAAAAAUAGUCACCUAAAUCAGAUUUUCUAUGAAACCUAGAACACAAAUUAUUUUUUCUCACUUCAUCCGAAAAGCAUUUCAAAGUAUAAUAAAAUGAGGGGAGAAAACAUACAAGGAAUAAAAUUUCAUCAAAACAAAAUAAAUCUCAUGCAUAGAAGAUAAUGAAAAAAAAAACAUACUUAAUUCAAAAUCAAAAUUUUCAAUAAAUAAAGGAAUACCUAAAUGGAAGGGGAAAAAACACAUGAAAAAGAAGAGAGUUAGAAAAGUACCUUACAAAACAAUGAGGUCAAGAUUGAUAGCAAAGAAAAAUGGAGGCAGUGCAACAAUUUGGAUUAAGCAGAUGGCAGAGAAGAAACCAUUGAAAGAGAAAAUAGUGAACCCUCU